UUGUACGUAGUACAAUCUCUGGUCACAAUGCUUCGCAUCAUCCUGUCAAACUGAACCGUAGGGACAAGCUAGGAUAUUGUAAUCAACCAUUACACUUAAACAACAUACAAAACAUGGUAUCCCUAUUCCUAAAACGGUUAGCACGACUCACAUCUCUUUGAGCAAUUUUCGAAAUACGCAAGAACAAAGACUUAAAAUUAAUAAAAGGGACUUCGUCAUUUUGAAUCGUCCUCAUUUGCCGCUACCGACCAGAGUCCGUUACACAUACUCUGGUCAAACGAACAAAUUGUGAACGUUUUGUAAUUUAAAGUGCUGUGAAUAUCUGUUAUUUGUACCCAGCAUUCCUGUAGCCGGCGAAAUGUGUCAGGGAGUUGGUCCCAACCCGCACCAUCCAAACUAACCGUCAAGGACCGCGCUCUACGUCAAAAGUGGUCGUUUGGUUGGUGGUGCAAGGAGGUAACAAAAAUGUGAACCUCCAAGUUGGCAGAGCGCGCCAACCCGAGAAUCUGUUAGAGCGCAAUGGCGGAGGCCAUCCGGUGAGUUCAUUGUUACCACUGUUACACAAAGCACAAGUACUAAAACAAGCCUUAAACACUGUACAGGUUUUUAUCAAAGACAAAGACACAAAACCAAAGACACCAAAACCGUUGCUGCGCCAGGCCUGGCCGGAGGAAGAUCCUCCGACUUGACUCGACCACCGCGGGAUACACUAGAACACACGAACACACACACACAUGGUUAGGUUAGUUUUAAAACGACGAAAAACAAUAAAUUAGG
rnacentral:lncRNA from 1 species